rnacentral:lncRNA from 1 species
UGAUCUUGAAAAAAUCGAUGGAAAAAAUCUUUCUCCUGCAAGAUGUCAAAACUAGACAUUAGCCAAACGGGAUAAUGGCCGCAAACGAAUCUUCACAGUCCCGGAAAAAGCCUUCAAACCCUCAGAAUAAUUGCAUAAGGUGGUGAAUUACAUCAAACGAUCUUCGUGUCAUAUACAAUUUUGCACCAAGAAAAUACCUAUGUCUGCUACUUCCCUUCUCUCUGCUGCAUCAAACCCCGUCUUCCCUUACAAUUCUACAAAAAAUUCAGCACAAUCUCUCUCUCUAUGUUAAUGGUUAUGAUGAGUUGAAUAAAAAAGUCAUCUUGUACGUCAAGAGUUCUAAAUGAGGUAAGGCAUGACAAGACAUUAAGGUUAAUUUCCUCUUGUUUUAAUUAUUUAAAGCAUGAGUUAAAUGCAUUGCUGAUCACUCCACCUUGAGUGGAUGUGCAUACUUGUCUUCAAUUUGGUGCAAUCAAGUCGCCAACUUCGAUUUGCUCGUAUAUUUGGUCACUUUGAGCACUAUCGUCAGUUUACUUAACAAAAUAUGUUGAUUUUCACGUUAAAAUACCGAACGAUUGACAUGUAAAAUGUUAUUUUAACUUAAAUAAGAGGAAAUUUCACAAAAUGUCCAUUUUUACCUAGAUAUUUUUACAAUGGUGGACAUUUUUGCAAAUGACUAAUUUGGAAGAAUUUAGACCAAAAUAACCUUAUUAACAAUUUAUAAUUCCACAAUAAAACAAAAAAUGGACAUUUUUGCAAUAUUGUUAUUGGCCAAUAAAAUUUUGGCACAUAACUUGUCAUAUUUAUUUCAAAAAGUAUAUAUGUCUAAUUACAAUAAAUACUAUAUUUUUCAUUGAUUCAGAUAUGUCAAGAAUGACAUUUUUAAAUGUAAAGAAAUGUCAUGUUCAAAAUGAAAUGUCAUUCUAGAUAAAUGAAAAAAUGUUCAAAUGUCAAGAAUGACAUAUGAAAUGUCGAGAAAUAUUAUUUUAAUGUCGCUUUUCAUGGAAGUUACUUCUCAAAAUUCGUGACAAAUUGAUAAAAAAAUCAAAUAUCGAGAACGACAUUUAAAAUGUCAAGAAUACCAUUUCAAAAUGUAGCUUUUCAUUAAGGGCAUAAUAUACAAGUUGACACUAAAUUCAAAUAAGUGGACACUUUUCAAUUCAUACCCUUAAAAUUGGACAAUCUUAAAAAUGUCCCUUUAAAUAAUUUUAAAAUAAGUAUAUCAAGAUGUCUCAUGUGUACUGUUGACGUGGACGUAAAUGAUAAUGUCAUUAAUAUACGGGUUGUGCUAUUUCUAUAUGGAGCCUUACACUCUGGUUGACACGAGCUCACCUCUCCUCUCACAUGGCGAGGUCGGCCCCACACAUUUGGGUGUGGACCCCGACCUCUUCCAUGUGAGAGGUCGGGUGGGAUCGUGUCAAUCGGAGUGUAAGCUUCCACGUACAAAUAGAUUAAUUCUUAUUAUAUUGCAUUAGUUAAAUUGACAAAUGAAUUCAUAGAGUGAUUAGAUUAGAUUAAUGAUUAAUCGCCUUUCUUUUAUGUCCUAUGCCUCUUUUAGUGUGGAUUAAUAUUAGUUUUUUUUAGCAAAUCUUGAUAAAAAUUAAUGAAAUAUGUAGAUGAAAAGUUGAGUUCCAUAGAAAUAUGUGGUUAAAAUUAAUUAUCGACUUUAUCUUAAAUUAAAAAUUUAAUUUUCACGAAACAGUAUGGAUGAAGAAAAACCUAUUUAAGUUGAUAUUCGCGAGCCCCAUCCUGAAUGGGUGGGAGUUAUCCACCUAACGGGGUAGACGAGAUGGGGUGUUGAUCGUUGCUCCGAAGCGGGUACCAAAAAUAUAAUUUUCACAUCGCAAAUUAUCUUGUUUAAUGUUGAUUUCAAAUCUAAGUUUUCUAUUCAUCAAAAAUAAAAGAUUUAUUAUCACUUUCAAAGAGAACACGAGUUCCUCACAAAUUGGAAAAAUAAAAAUAAUAAUAUUUAUUAACUAAAGACAUGAAAAAAGCAAAAUAAAUAAAAAAAAUAAUGGCAUGAUAAAUGGAACAUGUCCACUCGUCCCACUUUAAUCAAGUAUGAAAACGAGAUAAAAUGACAAAUAUACCCACAAGAAGGGGGAUGGAAAUAAUCGACCCGUCCCAUUACCAUCACACCAAAUUGGGACCAAACCGCCUUCCUCGUGCCAUAGGCCUCCUUUUAGAAAAUUAGAAAGAGUUGCAAAAAAUGAAUUAAUUAUUCCAAUGAUCACUGAACUUAAGUUCACGUAUUUGAUUGGUCACUGAAUUUUAAAAUGUCAAGUUAUGAUCACUGAACUUAGGUUUACGUCUUCGACUGCUCACUGAAUUUUAAAAUGUUGAGUUUUAACCAUUGAAUUUUGAAAAAUAUUGUACUUUACUUACUAGCAAAAAUGUUAAAUUUUGAAAAAAUGUUGAAUUUACAGUGAGUAACGUACGAUAUUUUUCAAAGUUCAGUGGACAAAACUCAACAUUUUUAACUUUAGUGAGCAAUCGAAGACAUGAAUUUAAGUUUAAUAAUCAAAACUCGACAUUUUAAACUUUAGUGACCAAUAAAAAAUAUGAACAUAAGUUGAGUGACCAUUGAAAUAAUUAACUCGCAGAAAGUUAAUUUUCUUAUACUCAAUAAAAAAGGGUACCGCUAUUUCUAUCCACAUUUUUUAUAUUUACCUCUACCUCUAAGUUAAUCCCUAUUAAAUUUUAAUUUUUUUUAAAAAAAUUACUAUUUGUAUCCACAUCAUAUUUCAAUAUUGUCCUUAUUAAAAUCAGAUAAAGAGAAACUAUUUUAUGUUCUUUUCUUCUUUUGGAGAAGUGAGGUGCUUAAUAAUUUAAGAAAUAGAACAUCGCUUUCUAUAUAGAUACUAUUAACUUUUUGGCAUAGUUGAAAGGGGAGAAAAAAGAAAGCAAUCUAGACAACAAUCAAAAAAGAGUUUUCACGCCAUGGAUUGCUUGGUGACCAAAGGCUCUUACCAAUUAGACUUAGAGAUAACAGGUAAAAUCAGGAAAAGAAAAUUAAAAUGUCCAAAUUCAAACAAAAAUCAAACAACAAAACACAAUAAAAAGGCAAUCCUUACUUUUUCAAAUUCCUUUUCAUAUAUUGCUAUGUCUGUAUAUAUUUGAUCAAGUGGCGUCUCUUCCAUUAUUUAUUAAAUUAUUUCUCUAUUGAAAUUCUAAGUAUUAGAAUGCGUCGAACAUAUUCAUGUAAUUUUCUUUGAUAUGUUAGGGUUCUAAUUAAACACAAAUUCUAAAAGAAUAUAAGGAAAUAGGAUAAUUUAAUGAAAAUAAAAAUAAGUGGAUGAAUAUAGAGUUAUGUAUUUUUAUUUAAAUUUAUUUAGGUCUAUAUAAGUAAAUUUACAUAAAAUUUAAAAUAUAAUAGAAUUUUAUUUUCAAAAGUGGAUGUAAUAAAUAUGAAAAGUGUGGAUGGGAAUAGCACUGAUCUUGAAAAAAUCGAUGGAAAAAAUAUUUCUCCUGCAAGAUGUCAAAGCUAGACAUUAGCCAAACGGGAUAAUGGCCGCAAACGAAUCUUCACAGUCCCGGAAAAAGCCUUCAAACCCUCAGAAUAAUUGCAUAAGGUGGUGAAUUACAUCAAACGAUCUUCGUGUCAUAUACAAUUUUGCACCUAGAAAAUACCCAUGUCUGCUACUUCCCUUCUCUCUGCUGCAUCAAACCCCGUCUUCCCUUACAAUUCUACAAAAAAUUCAGCACAAUCUCUCUCUUUUCAUCAAUCUAAAGUUAGUUCCGCAAUCUUUUAUAGCCCUUUUAUCAAUGAUAAU